GGGGAUGUGGCUCAGAGGUAGAGCACUUGCCAAGGAUGUGUAAGACCCUGGGUUCAAUCCCCAGCACCACAA
rnacentral:tRNA from 1 species